rnacentral:tRNA from 1 species
AAAAAGAUAAGCUAAUCAAGCUACUGGGCUCAUACCCCACCUAUAGAGGUCCUAAUCCUCUUCUUUUUG